GACGAACGCUGGCGGCGUGCUUAACACAUGCAAGUCGAACGGAAAGGCCCUGCUUUUGUGGGGUGCUCGAGUUGCGAACGGGUGAGUAACACGUGAGUAACCUGUCCUUGACUUUGGGAUAACUUCAGGAAACUGGGUCUAAUACCGCCUAGGAGCUCUUGCUGCAUGGUGGGCGUGGGAAGGUUUCGGCGGUUGGGGAUGGACUCGCGGCCUAUCAGCUUGUUGGGUGGGUAGUGGAUUACCAAGGCUUUGACGGGUAGCCGGCCUGAACGGGGAACCGGACACACUGGGACUGAGAUACGGCACAGACUCGUCUGGGAGGCAGCAGUGCAGAAUAUUGCACAAUGGGCGGAAGCAUGAUGCAGUAACGCAGCGUGCGGGAUGACGGGAUUCGGGUAGUAUACCGAUUUCGCCUGUGACGAAGCGAGAGUGACGGUAAUGGGUAAAGAAGCACCGGCUAACUACGUG
rnacentral:rRNA from 1 species